GAUGAACGCUGGCGGCGUGCCUAAUACAUGCAAGUCGAGCGAACAGACGAGGAGCUUGCUCCUCCGACGUUAGCGGCGGACGGGUGAGUAACACGUGGAUAACCUACCUAUAAGACUGGGAUAACUUCGGGAAGCCGGAGCUAAUACCGGAUAAUAUAUUGAACCGCAUGGUUCAAUAGUGAAAGACGGUUUUGCUGUCACUUAUAGAUGGAUCCGCGCCGCAUUAGCUAGUUGGUAAGGUAACGGCUUACCAAGGCAACGAUGCGUAGCCGACCUGAGAGGGUGAUCGGCCACACUGGAACUGAGACACGGUCCAGACUCCUACGGGAGGCAGCAGUAGGGAAUCUUCCGCAAUGGGCGAAAGCCUGACGGAGCAACGCCGCGUGAGUGAUGAAGGUCUUCGGAUCGUAAAACUCUGUUAUUAGGGAAGAACAAAUGUGUAAGUAACUAUGCACGUCUUGACGGUACCUAAUCAGAAAGCCACGGCUAACUACGUG
rnacentral:rRNA from 1 species